rnacentral:rRNA from 1 species
CUGCUAAAGCAGCAUGGGGGUCUGGGCAUCCCUAAUAUUGCUGAUAUGAAUCUAUGUCUCUUAGCUUCUUGGAUCAGGAGAUAUUUCCUGGAUGAGGGAAAAAUUUGGAAACAAAUUGUUGACGCCAAGUAUAAGACUCACAGUCCUAAUAUAUUUACUUGCCCUGAAAAUGGUGCCUCCCCUUUUUGGAAAGGAAUACUACGGGCUGCUAAAGCUGCCAAUGUAGGAUAUUUAUGGAUAGUGGGGAAUGGCAAGAAUAUUAGAUUCUGGGAAGACCAGUGGUUGGGUCAUACUACUCUAGCUACCCAGUAUUGGGAGCUAUACUCUAUUGCCAAUGACCACAAUGUUUCUGUUAGUGAGGUCUGGGAUGGCACCAAUCUAAAGAUUACUUUUAGAAGGUGUUUCACCCAGAAACUACUAGCAGAGUGGGACAAUUUGUUCAGCCGCGUAGCUGGUAUAAAUUUAAAUGACGUUGAAGACACCGUUCGCUGGAACUUUGAAGCCAAAGGUGUCUUUACCGUCAAAUCA